rnacentral:rRNA from 1 species
GACGAACGCUGGCGGCGUGCUUAACACAUGCAAGUCGAACGGAAAGGCCCUGCUUUUGUGGGGUGCUCGAGUGGCGAACGGGUGAGUAACACGUGAGUAACCUGCCCUUGACUUUGGGAUAACUUCAGGAAACUGGGGCUAAUACCGGAUAGGAGCUCCUGCUGCAUGGUGGGGGUUGGAAAGUUUCGGCGGUUGGGGAUGGACUCGCGGCUUAUCAGCUUGUUGGUGGGGUAGUGGCUUACCAAGGCUUUGACGGGUGGCCGGCCUGAGAGGGUGACCGGCGACAUUGGGACUGAGAUACGGCCCAGACUCCUACGGGAGGCAGCAGUGGGGAAUAUUGCACAAUGGGCGGAAGCCUGAUGCAGCAACGCCGCGUGCGGGAUGACGGCCUUCGGGUUGUAAACCGAUUUCGCCUGUGACGAAGCGUGAGUGACGGUAAUGGGUAAAGAAGCACCGGCUAACUACGUG